UCAAGGGCCAGACACAUAAGAAUACAUGGAAUGAGACUCUGAAAUUAAGGGGCUGGCUGUCUUCCCAAUUGUUUCAACAACAGUUUCCAUCCCAUUAUGCUGAAAUAAUCCAUACUAUGCCACUUCAAGAAUACAUGAAUCUCAUAUGGCUACAUCGAGCAACUUGUACAGGCUGAUUCUGUCUUAAAACUGUGUUAUGAUUCCUAUGACAUGUCAAGGGAAUUUCAGUAUUGGUUGAAGACAAGUAACAAUUAGGUUUUAGGAAAAUUGCUUGGGUAUCGUGUUCCUCUGCUGCCACUCACGAAUCA